GACCCGCGUCUGAUUAGCUAGUUGGUAAGGUAACGGCUUACCAAGGCGACGAUCAGUAGCCGACCUGAGAGGGUGAUCGGCCACAUUGGAACUGCGACACGGUCCAAACUCCUACGGGAGGCAGCAGGGGGGAAUAUUGCACAAUGGGCGAAAGCCUGAUGCAGCAACGCCGCGUGAGUGAUGAAGGCCUUCGGGUCGUAAAACUCUGUCCUCAAGGAAGAU
rnacentral:rRNA from 1 species